CCCUUAGAUGGUCUGGGCUGCACGCGUGCUACACUGGUCCGGAGAACAAGCGUAUCCUGAUCAGAAAUGAUUGGGGAAUCUUUUGAAUGCGGACCGUGAUCGGGAUUGACUAUUGCAAACAUUGGUCAUGAACGAGGAAUUCCUAGUAAGCGCGGGUCAUCAUCUCGCGCUGAUUACGUCCCUGCCCUUUGUACACACCGCCCGUCGCUGCCUCCGAUUGGGUGUUGAGGUGAAUUACUUGGAUGUUUUUCGUAAGAGAAAUAGAAGCGUUGUGAACCUUAACACUUAGAGGGAGCAGAAGUCGUAACA
rnacentral:rRNA from 1 species